CUUGGCACAGCUACCAGAAGACUUCUGAAAACUUUGUUUUGGAAGAAACAAAGCUCUUAUUGUGAAAGUCUGCUUCCUGACAGGUGGAGCUGUGACGCAUCAGGAAACAACUCACCUGAGUUGUUCUGCGUCGACAUUUUGGACUGUUUGAGGAAACUCCCUUCCUGCCUGCUUCCUGACAGGUGGAGCUGUGACUCAUUCCAGGAAACAGCUCACCUGUGUCAGAGAUUUCUCUCUAGGUGGAGAGUGACCCGAUUCUUCAUCAACUCUUCUUCAUCAACUCUUCUUCAUCAACUCUUUGGACUGUUUGAAGAAACUAAAACAAACGGUCGUCUCCAUCAGAGUAAAGUGAGACACAACACAACUCUACUGUUUCUGAUAAAAGGUUCAAGGUUCGGCUUUAUUGUCAUUAUACAACAGAAUUGUCCAAUGAAAUGCAAUCGUCAUUUACAGCUGGCUCUGAUGAAUUUAAGUUACCAACCGGGCUGCCUCUGUGGACUUUGGGCUAAAAUAUCGGAAAGA